AUUGAACGCUGGCGGCAUGCCUUACACAUGCAAGUCGAACGGUGAAGGGGAGCUUGCUCCCCGGAUCAGUGGCGAACGGGUGAGUAACACGUGGGCAACCUGCCCCAGACUUCGGGAUAACGCUUCGAAAGAGGUGCUAAUACCGGAUACGAACUCCUUGGGCAUCCUGGGAGUUGGAAAGUUUUUCGGUCUGGGAUGGGCCCGCGGCCUAUCAGCUUGUUGGUGAGGUAACGGCUCACCAAGGCGACGACGGGUAGCCGGCCUGAGAGGGCGACCGGCCACAGUGGGACUGAGACACGGCCCAGACUCCUGCGGGAGGCAGGAGUGGGGAAUAUUGCGCAAUGGGCGAAAGCCUGACGCAGCAACGCCGCGUGAGGGAUGACGGCCUUCGGGUUGUAAACCUCUUUCAGCAGGGAAGAAGCGAAAGUGACGGCACCUGCAGAAGAAGCACCGGCUAACUACGUGCCAGCAGCCGCUGUAA
rnacentral:rRNA from 1 species